rnacentral:rRNA from 1 species
GACGAACGCUGGCGGCGUGCCUAAUACAUGCAAGUCGAGCGAACAGACGAGGAGCUUGUUCCUCUGACGUUAGCGGCGGACGGGAGAGUAACACGUGGAUAACCUACCUAUAAGUCUGGGAUAACUUCGGGAAACCGGAGCUAAUACCGGAUAAUAUAUUGAACCGUAUGGUUCAAUAGUGAGAGUCGGCGUUGCUGUCACUUAUAGAUGGAUCUGGGCCGCUUGAGCUAGUUGGUAAGGUAACGGCUUAUCAAGGCAACGAUGCGUAGCCGAGCGGAGAGAGGGGUCGGCCGCACUAGAGGGGGAACGCGGACAAUGCUCCUGCGAGAGGCAGCAGACGGCUACGGUACGCAGCAGGGGGGAGUAUGGCGGAACGGGGCCAAGUGUGAGGUAGCGAUGUUGCGUGCGGAAUGCUCUGUUUUUAGGGAAGAACAGAUGUGUAAGGAGCUGUACAGGUCUUGACGGUACCGAAUCAAGAAGCACCGGCUAACUACGUG